CCGAAAGUUAUUGGUUGCCUAAAGCUUUUAAUAACCUGUACAAUACAAGACAGAUAAUGGCAGACGGCAGCAGUUGAAUUGAGAGUAGUCAGACUUGUACAAGCUGUCUUAAAUCGCUGCCACUCCUCGGUUCAAAGAAGGACUGCCAAGAUUUCUACGUUCAUCAGCUGUUCCAUGCUAAUCCACAAGUUAUGGCACAACAGACACUGGUACAAGGAUCUAUUAAAUCAAAAGGCUGGCUAAAUAGAUCUGUAUACUUGUCUUCUGUGUGUCUUUAGCUUUUGACACAUCAGAAUAAAUUGGAUAAUUUGCACGUGACAUUAAUAUUUAAUAGCAUUCCUGAUUUACACUAGCCUCGAUCCCAGGCCGAGUUUUCGCUUUUAUAACGGUUAGGCGAACAACUGGGCCUGGUACUAGUUGUCUGCGCAUGCGUCAGUCGUUCGUCAGAUUCUGACGAAUGGAUAUUCUCGUUCACUUUCGUGACAUUUAUAUUCGUGUACUAUCGUGUACUAGAAGUCAGUUCCCGUUUUAUCAUUAUUGGAAUCGAUUGGAAUGGCUCUUAGCUGAAGCUUCUCUCUUCUCUGAAGCUUAUUCUGAAGACUGAACAACAAGGGAAGAGGUAUAAAGCUUUGUCAAGCUUGUUAAGGUCAGAUAUUUUUGUGUGGGCCCUAUGGCUAUGCUAUCAAGUUUUGUUCAUGUUUGGCAAGAUCUACCGGUAGGUAGACUAUAGUUUCAUCAUUAAUAUGGUGGAUCAAGUGAAGAGUGUGAGCUAGAGAACUUGGUGCUGCCAUCAUCAGCUCGUCGACAAUGACACUAUAACACGAGAAAUUUAAUAUGUAUAGAUCUACACGUAUUUAGAAUGUCUACUUCUCUGUACAGGAGCAAUGGCUAAUAUCCAGCUAUCCCAACAGUGCUCCUCUUGGCUAUACUAACGGACGAGACUGGACAGUUUGAGGACUGGAGUAUGACCUGCUCAUUCGAGCGUUGCUGGGUAGCUCAGAGACAUCAAGAGAAUCUACGUUUUCUCAAGCAAAAUUUAACUGAGUUACGAGUUGGGGCCUAGAAUCAGAGAAGUCCAGCAGCCUGCUAAAUCUUUUUGAAACGUAAUUUGAAGGCAUUCAAUCAUCCUGAAGUUGCCCUGGGUCACUGUAAUUGUGCUGCAGCACAACUGGCAACUCCCCAGGCCUUUGUGAAGCAGCUCCCUAUGUGCAUCUUUUGUGUACUCCCUAUGUGCAUCUUUUGUGUACUCACUCUGUGCAUUUUCUGUGUACAAAUUUCGAUUAUUGA